UACGAAGGGGCUAGCGUUGUUCGGAAUCACUGGGCGUAAAGCGCUCGUAGGCGGAUCUUUUAAGUCAGAGGUGAAAUCCCAAGGCUCAACCUUGGAACUGCCUUUGAUACUGGGGAUCUCGAGUCCGGGGAGAGGUGAGUGGAACUGCGAGUGUAGAGGUGAAAUCGUAGAUAUUCGCAAGAACACCAGUGGCGAAGGCGGCUCACUGGCCCGGUACUGACGCUGAGGAGCGAAAGCGUGGGGAGCAAACAGG
rnacentral:rRNA from 1 species